UGCCAGCCGCCGCGGUAAUACGAAGGUCCCAAGCGUUAUUCGGAAUCACUGGGCGUAAAGGGAGCGUAGGCGGCGUGGAAAGUCAGAUGUGAAAUCUCAGGGCUCAACUCUGAAACUGCAUCCGAUACUCCCAUGCUAGAGGACUGGAGAGGUGUUUGGAAUUAUCGGUGUAGCAGUGAAAUGCGUAGAUAUCGAUAGGAAGACCAAUGGCGAAGGCAGAACACUGGACAGUACCUGACGCUGAGGCUCGAAGGCUAGGGGAGCAAAAGGGAUUAGAUA
rnacentral:rRNA from 1 species